ensembl:lncRNA
CGGAGGUCUGGUAGCACCACCUACUCUCUUAAAGGAGUAGGCGCUCAGAGUUCAAAACACGUAAGGCAGCUAUUUUCGUCUUUCCUAGUUCUUCUGAUGGAUCUCAAUUACUGCCUCUAUUCUGCCACAACAGACGCUCAGAACCCGAAAGUUGGGGAGGGCCUUAGUGAGCAUCCCCGGAUGAACCUCCUAGAAAAGGCGGCCGUGUCUGGCUUUGGAUUGGCGGCCGCCCCAUCGGAGGAGGAAGGGGAGCGUGUCGGCUUCUAGACACUUGGGCAGUCAAUCGGUAAUAAUUUAUGCACCCACACUCCGCGGGAGCCCAGUCUCUCGCAGUUCUUGGCGAGGCGGCCUAGGACAUGGUCCGAGGCGCUGGUGGGCGGUCGGCCGGCCCGGGCACCCUGCGUGAAGACUAGACCAAGCCCCCUGCUCUCCUCGCACGGAGUCUACAAGUCUGCAGUGGCCACUGUCUCAGUGGCUAAGAGCUGGGGACGUGCUGCUGAUCACGUGAGAUCCAGCCCAGAAAGCUGCCCCCAGUUGCUGUCUCGCAAGUUCUAUCAUCUUGUGUUAAUAAGGGAGGAACUGCCAAGUGGAAGGCGUGACAAAAGCAACAAGUAAAAUAAUGUGAGAAAACGGCAAGAUGAGCCUUCUAAAAGCCAGGAAGAAGAAUCUCACCAGGAGCAAAAUCUAGUACCUUGAUCUUGGACUUCCUAGGCUCCAUAACUGAAUUGUUGCCUCUUUACCAUUCUGCCUGGAGCCAACUGAUUAUGGAUUGAAACCUCUACGAACUGUGAGACAAAGAAACCCCUUACCCUCUUAACUUUGGAUGUCAGAUCCUCUUUAGUGGUGAGUUCAAAGAGUCCAUGUGGUUGAGUAUCAGAGUGUUCCAUCUCAUUUCCCUUUGGGGUUGCUGUAGGUGAUUCUGGAAGUCUGGUUCUGAGGCUUGUUUACCUACCUUCUCAUUUUGAUGCGGGGGGCGGGGGUGUUGUUCCUGGCACCCGCAGUGCUCACCUCCUCUCUGCUGGGAGCUCUGGCACGCCUACCCAGAAGCCUCCUCUAUGCUGGGAGCCGUGGCACCCUGACCCGGAAGUCUCCUCUGCACUGGGAGCCAUGGUGUGCUGACCUGGAAGUCUCUUCUGUGCUGGGAGCUGUGGCAUGCUGACCUGGAAGCCUCCUCUAUUCUGGGAGCCACGGCACAACAACCCGGAAGCCUCCUCUACGCUGGGAGCCAUGGCACGCCUACCUGGAAGUCUCCUCCUGCCUAGGAACCAUGGCACGCUGACCCUGAAGUCUCCUCUGGGCUGGGAGCUGUGGCACACUUACCUGGAAGCCCCCUCUACACUGGGAGCCAUGACACACCUACCCAGAAGCCUCCUCCUGCCUGGGAGCCAUGGCGUGCUGACCUGGAAGUCUCCUCUGGGCUGGGAGCCAUGGCACACCAACCUGGAGGUCUCCUCUCCCUACACAAUAUAUCUUUGUUUUUGUUUUUGUUUUUUUCUACACAAUAUAUCUUGAUUCAUCUUUUUCUCCCAAUCCCCUUCCCUCCCGUCAACCUUCCAUUCUCCCUUAUUUACAAAAGUUGUUUCUGUUUUUUCCUUCUUUUCUCAUUUUUUUCACCUUUUCCCUUCCUUUCCCCCCUCUUCCCUUCACAGUUUCUCUUUUCCUUUGAACAGUUUUUUCCUAUUUUAUAUUACCUAUUAUACCAAAAGUGCAUGAGAAAUAGUGCAAAGAAUCAAUAAUUGGGAUGUCAUCCUGUUAAGAAG